rnacentral:rRNA from 1 species
CCGGGCGCGCCCCGGGCGGGGCGGGGGCACGGGGGGAACGCGAAGAACCUUACCUGGUCUUGACAUCCACGGAAGUUUUCAGAGAUGAGAAUGUGCCUUCGGGAACCGUGAGACAGGUGCUGCAUGGCUGUCGUCAGCUCGUGUUGUGAAAUGUUGGGUUAAGUCCCGCAACGAGCGCAACCCUUAUCCUUUGUUGCCAGCGGUCCGGCCGGGAACUCAAAGGAGACUGCCAGUGAUAAACUGGAGGAAGGUGGGGAUGACGUCAAGUCAUCAUGGCCCUUACGACCAGGGCUACACACGUGCUACAAUGGCGCAUACAAAGAGAAGCGACCUCGCGAGAGCAAGCGGACCUCAUAAAGUGCGUCGUAGUCCGGAUUGGAGUCUGCAACUCGACUCCAU